CAGUCGCCGCGGGAAUACGUAGGUGGCAAGCGUUGUCCGGAAUUAUUGGGCGUAAAGCGCGCGCAGGUGGUUUAAUAAGUCUGAUGUGAAAGCCCACGGCUCAACCGUGGAGGGUCAUUGGAAACUGUUAAACUUGAGUGCAGGAGAGAAAAGUGGAAUUCCUAGUGUAGCGGUGAAAUGCGUAGAGAUUAGGAGGAACACCAGUGGCGAAGGCGGUUUUUUGGCCUGUAACUGACACUGAGGCGCGAAAGCGUGGGGAGCAAACAGGAUUAGAUACCCGGGUAGUCCCUGUCUCUUAUAC
rnacentral:rRNA from 1 species